GUCUCAUCAGUGGGCAGUGGCUGGCUGGCUCAACAAGCAGCUAAGCAUGCAGAAUCUGACUGCUCGAAGGUGUCAGGUCGCUGAACUCCUUAGGAGCGUCCACGUCCUGCCAGCAAACGGAGUAGCCUGGCGCUCCCCUGCUACCAGGACCGCCGCCAGCGGGCUCCUCCCGCACAUGCCCAAUCGCGACGUGGAGGCCUCGCCCGACGACUACGAUCCUACUGUCGACGCAGCUCACCGAGAAGGGCUUCAUGAUGCGCUCGGGCAUGGGGGCGCCGCCGACCGUGUCCCACGAGUCCGUCUCCGGGUCGUACACCUUGACCUUCAUCCUCUCGUACUCCGAGACGACGAACAGGCGUCCCGCGACGACGACGCUCAGCCCCGUCCACCCUUCCCGCAUCCCCGCCGGCAUCGCCUCCCACCGGUCCGCCCUCGGGUCGUACACCUGGCCCCUCGGCGCCGAGAAGAAGGGCCACGCGCACCCCUCGGUCACGUACAGCCUGCCGCCGAGCACGGCGGAGUCGGCCGACGCCAUGUUGGCCCCCAUGCUGGCGACCGGCCGCCACGCGCCGGCGCCAGCGGGGUCGAGCACCUCGGCGGAGCUCAGCUCGAACUGGUCCGCGCUGUACCCUCCCGCGACGUACACGCGGCCGUCGAUGACGCCGCCGGCGAAGAAGGACCGCGCCGCCAGCAUCCGCGCCAUCACGGCCCACCUGUUCCGGCACACGUCGUACCGGAGCACGAGGUGCAGCGGGCAGUCCAUGUCGGAGACCAGCCCGCCGCAGACCACGAGCGCGUCCCCGCCGUCGCCGGCAGCAGGGACGGCCACGCAGCCGAACCCGCGCGGGCAGGCGCGGUCGCGGCACGGCAUGGCCGGGAUGGCGUGCCAGCUGCGCUGCCCCAGGUCCAGCACCUUCCACUGGAUCUCGCCCGUGCAGCGGUGGAACGCCAGCGUGAACAGCCACGGCGCGCGCAGCCCCAGCGCCCGCCGCUGCGCGAAGAACCGGGCCUUGUCUGCCAGGAGAUGGCGCCAGCGCCGGCACACCAGCCUGCACGCGCCGUGGGACUCCACGGCCAGCCGCAGCAGGCAGUUCAGCGCCGCGUCGUCGGGGAGCCCCGGGAUCAGCGCCUCCGCCGCCUCCCACGACGCCUGCUGCGGACCCGACGACGAAGCCGGGGUCGCCGCCAGGCGGAACCUCGGCGUCAGCUUCAUCUGGCCGUCGCCGAGCUUGUGGACGGGCGCCUGGUGCGAGGACACCCGCACGCGACGCAUGCUCCACCCGGCCGGCCCUCCGCCGCGGGAGGAAAUCGAGCCGAGAAGAGAACCUCGACCGCGACCUGCUGGCUGGCCGGUUAGGUCAGGGAGGAAAUCCCCGCACCAAUUUAUUGCCGAGGGGGGCCUCGACGAGGAAUUCAAUCGGCCGCCGGCCUGGUACAAUCGGUAAGUGACGAGGAAUCAAUCGCUGCACAGCUUUGACUGGAAAAAUAAUCGCGGAGAAGAAGAGAAGGGGAACUGGCCUAGCCUGCUGGUGCUGGACGCUCGCUCCCCAAGCCCGGUAAGAGCAGGCUCGGCCUCGGGGACGCCUUCUUCCCUUGACGCCCGGUGGUGGUGGUGAUGGUGAGUGGCGCCGAGGAGGGGUGAUGACGAUAGUCUUCCUCGAUCGGUUGGUCCAAACCACCGAACAGCGCCAGCAGCGAGGCCGCCGUAACGCCAGACCAAGCCAGCAGGGCAGCAGAGCAGACGGAGGCAAAGAGUGCCGGUAAGGUCAAAGAGGGUAUUUUAAUACGGGCUAGCAGCAGCUCAAACUCAAAGGCCUCACGCCGUGGCUAGCAGUGUCCCGGUCACUACUCACUAGUCAAUGCUGCUCGGUGGGCGGGACCCACGCUACUAGUGGGUUUUUUUUUUUUUGCUUCCUCUCUUCUCCUGCUAUGCUACUGGAGUACGCUGGAGUAAUUCUCUACAAAAAAAAU
rnacentral:misc_RNA from 1 species